rnacentral:lncRNA from 1 species
GCUUGGGCUGUUUUCUGGGAUGGACUACCUGAAAUUCAUCACCUCUGUUACUUCAUACAAUAGCCUGUUGCCAUGGUUAAAGGCUGUGGUGUUGGUGUGAGGGAGCUCAGAGAUGGGCUGGGAUUUGGACGGAACUGCACCUAGUGCUGAGGGCAGCAGAGUCCAUGAUAGGAGAAGGUGGCAGGGAUCCUUUCUAGGAAUAUUGAUCAUAAAUCAAGGCUAACAACAAAGUAGCUUUGGAAAAAUAUGAACUCAAAAGUAUACUCUAUUUAAAUCCUAAAAAAGAAUCAGAUACCCUGACCCUGAAGAUUUCUGGACCUAGAUAAGUAGGAAUGAAAAGAAACAGGGCUGGUCAAACAAACCAGAAAAAAAGUAUGUGCCUUGGGCAAACUGAACUUGAUGGAGGUCAGGUGCAAAAGAAGUAUAGAUGUCUGCCUAGGCCUAUCCAUGACCCUUGAAGAGGCCUGGGCCAAAAAAAGAAGUGAUGUGGGCCUGAGCCUAUUCCCAAAACUUGAAGAGGCCUGGGCCUAAUGAAGAAGUGAUGUGGGCCUGGGCCUUUCUCUGACCCUUGAAGAGGCCCAGGCCAAAAGCAAGAAUUGAUGUGGGCCUGGGCCUAUCCCCGACCCUUGAAGAGGCCUGUGCCUAAUGAAGAAGUGAUGUGUACCUGGGCCUAUUCCCAAACCUUGAAGAGGCCUGGGCCUAGUGAAGAAGUGAUGUGGGCCUGGGCCUAAUGAAGUGAUGUGGGCCUGGGCCUAUCCCUGACCCAUGAAGAGGCCUGGGCCUAAUGAAGAAGUGACGUGGGCCUGGGCCUAUCCCUGACACUUGAAGAGGCCUGGGCCUAAUGAAGAAGUGAUGUGGGCCUGGGCCUAUCCCCAACCUUUGAAGAGGCCCAGGCCACAAACAAGAAUUGAUGUGGGCCUGGGCCUUUCCCUGUCCCUUGAAGAGGCCUGGGCCUAAUGAAGUAUUUUGGGCCUGGGCCAAUCCCGAACCAUUGAAGAGGCCUAGGCCUAAUGAAGAAAUGAUGUGUGCCUGGGCCUAUCCCCAGCCCUUGAAGAGGCCCGGGCCAAAAGCAAGAAGUGAUGUGGACCUGGGCCUAUUCCCAACCCUUGAAGAGGCCUGGGCCUAAUGAAGUGAUGUGGGCCUGGGCCUAUCCCCAACCCUUAAAGAGGCCUGGGCCAAAAGCAAGAAGUGAUGUGGGCCUGGGCCUAUCUCUGAACCUUGAAGAGGCCCGGGCCUAAUGCAAGAAGUGAUAUGGGCCUGGGCCUAUCCCUGACCCUUGAAGAGGCCCGGGCCUAAUGCAAGAAGUGAUAUGGGCCUGGGCCUAUCCCUGACCCUUGAAGAGGCCCGGGCCUAAUUAAGAAGCGAUGUGGGCCUGGGCCUAUCCUUAACCCUUGAAGAAUCCUGGGCCUAAUGAAGAAGCAAUGUGGGCCUGGGCCUAUCCCCAACACUUGAAGAGGCCCAGGCCACAAACAAGAAGUGAUGUGGGCCUGGGCCUUUCCCUGUCCCUUGAAGAGGCCCAGGCCACAAACAAGAAGUGAUGUGGGCCUGGGCCUUUCCCUGUCCCUUGAAGAAGCCCAGGCCUAAUGCAAGAAGUGAUAUGGGCCUGGGCCUAAUGAAGUAUUUUGGGCCUGGGCCUAUCCCCAACCCUUGAAGAGGCCCGGGCCACAAACAAGAAGUGAUAUGGGCCUGGGCCUAUCCCUGACCCUUGAAGAGUCCUCGGCCUAAUGAAUAAGUGAUGUGGGCCUGGGCCUAUCCCUGACCCUUGAAGAGGCCUGGGCCUAAUGAAGUGAUGUGGGCCUGGGCCUGUCCCCAACCUUUGAAGAGGCCCAGGCCACAAAUAAGAAUGAUGUGGGCCUGGGCCUUUCCCUGUCCCUUGAAGAGGCCUGGGCCUAAUGAAGUAUUUUGGGCCUGGGCCAAUCCCGAACCAUUGAAGAGGCCUAGGCCUAAUGAAGAAAUGAUGUGUGCCUGGGCCUAUCCCCAACCCUUGAAGAGGCCCGGGCCAAAAGCAAGAAGUUUUGUGGGCCUGGGCCUAUCCCCAACCCUUGAAGAGGCCUGGGCCUAAUGAAGAAGUGAUGUGGGCCUGGGCCUAUCCCCAACCCUUGAAGAGGCCCGGGCCAAAAGCAAGAAGUGAUGUGGGCCUGGGCCUAUCCCUGACCCUUGAAGAGGCCCGGGCCUAAUGCAAGAAGCAAUAUAGGCCUGGGCCUAUCCCUGACCCUUGAAGAGGCCCGGGCCAAAAGCAAGAAGUGAUGUGGGCCUGGGCCUAUCCCUGACCCUUGAAGAGGCCCGGGCCUAAUUAAGAAAUGAUGUGGGCCUGGGCCUAUCCCUGACUCUUGAAGAGGCCCAGGCCUAAUGAAGAAGCAAUGUGGGCCUGGGCCUAUCCUUAACCCUUGAAGAGUCCUAGGCCUAAUGAAGAAUUGAUGUGGGCCUUGGCCUAUCCCCAACCCUUGAAGAGGCCCGGGCCACAAACAAGAAGUGAUGUGGGCCUGGGCCUUUCCCUGUCCCUUGAAGAGGCCUGGGCCUAAUGAAGUACUUUGGACCUGGGCCUAUCCCAACCCUUGAAGAGGCCCGGGCCAAAAGCAAGAAGUGAUGUGGGCCUGGGCCUAUCUCUGACUCUUGAAGAGGCCCGGGCCUAAUGAAGAAGCAAUGUGGGCCUGGGCCUAUCCUUAACCCUUGAAGAGUUCUGGGCCUAAUGAAGAAUAGAUGUGGGCCUGGGCCUAUCCCCAACCCUUGAAGAGGCCUGGGCCUAAUGAAGAAGUGAUGUGUGCCUAUGUCUAUCCCCAACCCUUGAAGAGGCCCGGGCCAAAAGCAAGAAGUGAUGUGGGCCUGGGCCUAUCCAUGACCCUUGAAGAGGCCCGGGCCUAAUCCAAAAAGCGAUAUGGGCCUGGGCCUAUCCAUGACCCUUGAAGAGGCCUGGGCCUAAUGAAGAAGUGAUGUGUGCCUGGGUCUAUCCCCAACCCUUGAAGAGGCCCGGGCCAAAAGCAAGAAGUGAUGUGGGCCUGGGCCUAUUCCUGACCCUGAAAUUGUCCUGGGCCCAAUGCAAGAAGAAGUGUCAGCCUGGGUCUAUCCCUGAUCCUUGAAGAGGCCUUGGCCGAAUACAAGAAGUGGUGUGGGCCUGGGCAUAUCCAUGAUCCUUGAAGAGGCCUAAGCUGAAUACAAGAAGUGGUAUUGGCGUGGGCCUAUCUCUAACCCUGGAAGUGGCCCAGGUCAAAUGUAAGAAGCAAUAUGGGCACAGGCCUAUCCCUGACCCUUGAAGAGGCCUGGGCGAAAUGCAAGAAGUGAUGUCACCUGGGCCUAUACCUUACCCUUGAAGAGUCCUGGGCUAAAAGCAAGAAUUGGUGUGGGCCAAAACAACAAGAAUUGGUGCCUGGCCCUUUCCCUAAUCCUCAAGAGGCCCAAGGCAAAGUAGAAGAUAUGUGGACCGAGGUCUGACCUCUAUGAAGCCUGGACCCUAGCAAGCAGAGGAUAUUGAUGUAGGCCAUUUUUUUUUUAAAAAGAGGCAUGGACCAUGCUAAGAAAAAGUGUAUUUCUAAUGCAAACUGUGACUCUGAAGACAGGCCAUAUAAAAAAAUGUUUAACACCAUUUACCAUAACCAGAACAAACCAAAGCCUCAUUUGUGACCAAGGUCGAUCAAUAAUCACAAUAUAUUUGGACUUACUACCAUUCCUGCACAGAUCACUGACAUCAGAUCAUAGGUUGUGAAUCUCAUCAAUGAUAAUCUGGAAACUCCUUGUGUACCACUAUGGUUUGUGGGCUGCAUCUGGCAUUCUUCCAAAAGAGGCAACGAUCUCAUAUCAGUUGUGUUAAGACCAUAUCAUUGCUUUCAAGUGGUCACGCAUGAACAUAACAAGGAGACACCUUGGAAUCAAAGGUGUGGGAGCUCCACUCAGAAAUUCUCUGUUCCCAGGUCUUCCUAGAUGAGGCCCUUUAGAGUCAAGGAGAAGCUGACCUCAAGUGUGACCUGAGCCAUACCCACUACUCCAGGAAGGUUGGACACAGUUUAACCACAAGGAGAGCUGGUCUGAUAAGUGCAAUGAUGGCAAAAGCCAUAAAGUGACAUCAGUGGGAUCCUGGCAGCCUUCUGACUACAGAGUACCCUGGGUCCAGCUUAACUUCAAGAGUGUAUGGGCCACACCCUUUCUUUUUAUGAUCUUGGACAAUCUUCACUACAAGGAAGCCUUGUAGUCUUACAUUAUUCUUUAGCAGGCAUUUCAUGCCCUAGCAUUGUGUAUCUAGUUUUCAAUAAAUAUAACUUUCACCUGUUACC